rnacentral:ncRNA from 1 species
ACCAAGGCUUUUCUAGUAGGAAUCCGGUCUAAAGCCACUCUCCAAAAAAAAAAAAAAAUAU